UACGAAGGGAGCUAGCGUUGUUCGGAAUUACUGGGCGUAAAGGGCGCGUAGUCGGCUCUUUUAGUCAGGCGUGAAAGCCCCGGGCUUAACCUGGGAACAGCGUUUGAUACUGGAGAGCUUGAGUGUGGGAGAGGUUGGUGGAAUUCCCAGUGUAGAGGUGAAAUGCGUAGAUAUCAGGAGGAACACCUGCGGUGUAGACGGCUUACUGGACCAUAACUGACGCUGAGGCACGAAAGCGUGGGUAGCAAACAGG
rnacentral:rRNA from 1 species